rnacentral:tRNA from 1 species
GGUGAAUAUAUUUCAAAGGUAGAAAGAAUGCUUGUGGCGCGUUAAAUCUGAGUUCAAUUCUCAGUAUUCACCC